CAAUGACUUUCCAGCAUAUGCAAAUUUGUCUGGAUGGAGUACAAAAGGAAAAUUGGCUUGCCCAUGUUGCAAUAAAGGAACUGUUUCCACAAGGCUAAAAAAUUGUAAAAAAUAGUGUUACAUGGGCCACAGACGCUUUCUUCCUCUUGAUCACAAAUGGAGGAAUGAUAAAGCGUCAUUUGAUGGCACUAAGGAGACGAGACUACCACAAAAAAUGUUGUCCAGUGGUGAUAUACUUGAUCAAGUUGCUGAUUUAGAUGGGUUACCACUAACAAAGGAUCCAAAGAAGAAGAAUAAGAUAUCACAUGAAAGUAGGGGUGAUAAUUGGAAUAAGAAGAGUAUAUUCUUUGAUCUUCCUUAUUGGAAAACUUUGUUGUUGCGACAUAAUCUAGAUGUGAUGCACAUUGAGAAAAAUAUCUGUGAUAAUAUAUUGGGGACAAUCUUAAAUGUCAAAGGAAAAACCAAAGACACCUUGAAUACUCGGUUGGAUUUACAAGCAAUGAACAUACGAAAAGAUUUGCAUCCAUUAAAAAAUGGGGAUAAAUAUGAGUUACCACCAGCAUGUUACACAUUAUCUCCUGAAGAGAAGCAAAAGUUUUUCAAUUUCUUAAAGAAUCUAAAGGUCCCAGAUGGAUUUUCAUCAAAUAUUUCCCAGUGUGUCAACCUUAAAGAUCGCAAAAUUUCAGGAUUAAAAAGUCACGAUUGUCAUGUUAUUCUACAACAUUUACUCCCACUUGCCAUACGUGGUAUGCUCUGCAAAUCUGUGUCGGAACCACUUAUUGAGUUGUCUUUAUUUUUCAAAGUGCUUGGGGCGAAAUGUUUGAGUGUGGAUGUGUUGGAACAAAUAGAAGCCCAAAUACCAUUAACCUUGUGCAAGUUAGAAAGGGUCUUUCCUCCUGCAUUUUUUGAUGUCAUGGUGCACUUGGCAAUUCAUUUACCUAAUGAAGCUAAGAUUGCUGGACCAAUUCAAUAUCGAUGGAUGUAUCCAAUAGAGCGCUACCUACAUUUUUUGAAGUCUUUUAUUGGUAAUAUGGCUCGCCCAGAAGGUUCGAUUGCAGAGGGAUAUUUAGCAACUGAAUGUAUGACUUUAUGUUCAAGGUAUUUGAAUACAAUGAAGACAAAAUUUAAUUGCCUUGAACGAAAUUAUGAUGGUGGUGUGUUUGAAUUUGAGGGAGGUUUGACAAUUUUUUGUCAACAAGGAAAACCUAUAAAGGGUAGGAAAGGUAGCAAGCAAGAUAAACUUGAUUCAACUGAAAUGGAGCAGGCACAUUUUUAUAUAUUGAAGAAUUGUGAUGAAAUUCAACCAUUUCUCGAAGAGUUUUCACAAAUUCAUGUUGAUACCUCUCAACAAAGUUCAGAUGUGGAAUGGAAUAGGCAGUUCAUUACUUGGUUGCAAGAAAAGGUUGCAAGAUUACACAAACACGAUGAUAGUAAGAGAAUGGAAGAUUUGCUCUCACUGGCACGUGGUCCUUUGCCAUAUGUGACAAGAUUCAAAGGCCACAUUAUUAGUGGAUAUAGGUUUCACGUGCAAGAGUAUGAUAAAGGUUUGAGAACUCAAAAUUCUGGGGUGGUUGUAGUUGGUGAGACUGAUGAAGAGCAAAAAGAAAUGGAUUACUAUGGCGAGUUAACCGAGGUUCUUGAAUUACAAUUUGUUGAGGGAAGAAGAGUUAUUUUGUUUCGAUGCACAUGGUUUGAUGUAUAUGAUCAAGAGAGGGGAGUUAAAAUGGAUGAAUAUGGUUUUGUAAGUGUUAACCGCCAGCGAUUUUUGAAAACAAAUGAGCCUUUUGUAUUAGCCAACCAAGCAUCACAAGUAUUUUAUGUUGUCGAUCAUUCCAAUAAAGGUUGGCAUAUUGUAUGAAAGGUUCAACCUCGUGAUUCUUUUGACAUUUUGCAAAAAGAAGAUGACGACUUAGAGGAGUUAGAUAACUCUACACAAAUGAAAAGGAAAAGAACACAUGAAGGUUGACAUGAAUCCCUCAAAAAUCCAGAAGUAUGAAAUGGGAUCAGCUUCAAAGAUUGCUAAGCAUGAAUUCAUUCAACCUGGUGCCUUAGCAGCAAAGGGACGGGGAGGGAAAAGCUUAAGAGUAAUGGGCUCUUUAAGAGUUAAUGCCGAAUAGAGGCCUCUAAUUGCCAAAAAUAAGAGUUGUAAUACAGCAACUUCUAAGUUGA